rnacentral:rRNA from 1 species
CAGUCGCCGCGGGAAUACGAAGGGGGCUAGCGUUGCUCGGAAUGACUGGGCGUAAAGGGCGCGUAGGCGGCGGCCAAAGUCAGGCGUGAAAUUCCCGGGCUCAACCUGGGGGCUGCGUUUGAUACUUGGUUGCUUGAGUGGGGAAGAGGGUCGUGGAAUUCCCAGUGUAGAGGUGAAAUUCGUAGAUAUUGGGAAGAACACCGGUGGCGAAGGCGGCGACCUGGUCCUUUACUGACGCUGAGGCGCGAAAGCGUGGGGAGCAAACAGGAUUAGAUACCCCGGUAGUCCCUGUCUCUUAUAC